UCCAGGUCUCUUGUGGCUUGAAGAGAAAAAGAAACCAGUUACAGGGUCAUUUUCUUUCUUUCUUUUUUUUUUUUUUUUUUUAACUGGUAUCAGGGAUCAAACUCACGACCACGCGUUUACAAGGAAGGCACUUUAUGCCGCUGAGCUAAAUCCCCAGCUCCAUGCAGCGUCAUUUUCAUGUGUGUGUGUGUGGUUUUUCCUGCAAGACCAUCACCUUCACUGUGAGACAGGAGGAGAUUUUAGCACUGGAGCCAGCAGAGCAAAAUUCAGAAGCAAAGGGAUCCAGCAUCCUGGUCCUUGGUUCCUCUGCACUUCUGGCAGGGCAGGGUACGGCUCCAGAGCCCCACUUGGUGGUUUCCCUGGGAUAGCACUCACAACUGCCUGCUUGCAAGACAGGCGCUUAUGCCGCUGAUUUAAAUCCCCAGCCCCAAGACUUCCGGGAGAACAUGGCGGACAGAUAACAGCAACUACCGGAGGCUCUCUGAAAGACUCGGCUCAGAAGCCAGGAAUGGUGCGGACUAAGGAGACAUAAGCAGGUGGAGAUAUGCUCUGCUGACUCAGGAACGAACUGGGCUGAGAGAAACCAACUUGGAAUGCAGUCCUGGUGCUAAAACAGGAACAGAAAAGCCUCGGUGUGGAGGCUGGACCCCGCGCCAUUGGAAGCCACGAUUUGGGUUUCCCGCCAUGCGGCGGCUGGCUGCCUCUACAGUGGCUCGGCAAGGAGAGAGACGUGCAGAAGCUCUGAGAACGGCAAUCUGCGAACGGCAGGGAGGCGUGCACUGACUUGUGGUGAGGUGAGUGAGAGAAACUGACACUCUACCACAGUUUGACUCCAGCAGAGGACUUUCUGGGCCCAAGCAGUCCUGCGGGAGCAGGGCACGGUGGCGACUCCAGCCACACAUCCCCCUCUUGGGCGGGAUUGGUAAAAAGUGCCUGGCCUGCGUGAUGCUGCCGGCGGACCUGGUAGGCUGUCCCAACCCAGAUCCCAGAGCCUGACAGUGGCCGGGAGGGGAGACGCAUAGGCUGCCUGGUCCGUAACUCCCUGGUGCGCAGCGGUGAGUGGGAACACCUAACCAGCACAAUUCGAUCAGGCUGUGGCUGACUGGGAGAGAAGCUGGGCCUCUUAUAUAAGCUUGCAUAUAUAAGGAACAGAGAAGAAGAGGCAGCAUGGGAAGAGGCAGCAACAAGAAAGGCUCCUCGGCCCCCAAUUCUGAGAAACAGGCAAUAGCAGACACCGCACCAAUACACAUAAGGCGCCAUAUAGAGAGCCUCAUAGACCAAUUCAGGAAUGAAGUUAUCAACGACCUGAAGCUAGAAGUAUGCAGAAUAGUUAGAGAAAUGCUAAGUACCACCCAAGAAAAAACAGAUGGUGGAAUGGAAGAACAGAAAAAAAGGGGAGAAUUGUUUGAUGGAGAAAACAGAGAAAGCAUAGAAUACGUGAAGCAGGUUCAAAGAGACUACCAAGAUACUAAGAAGUCUAUAGAAGACUGGCAUAACAGCUUGAAAGAAACUAAGGACAGACUAUCUGAACUGGAGGGCAGACUUGUAAUAUGGGAGAAUGAAAUAAAAAACUUCUUAAAAAUAACAAAGAAACAAACAGCAAUAAUACAAAGACAAGAAGAUGAUAAGAGGAGCCAUAACUUAAGGAUUAAGAACAUAAAAGAAGAAGUAGGGACACAGACAAGUGAACUACAAAAGCUACUCACAGAAAUAAUCCAGGAGAAUUUUCCUAAUUUAGCAAAA